UGGCUUUGUCCUAAGUCAAACUGUUCUAACUUUGACUAAGCUUUUAGAAAAUAUAACAAGAUCUAUAGUACCAAACAAAUACACCAUCAGAACAUAUUUCAUGAUGGAUUUGAUGAAACUAAUUCGAGGUUGUAAAUGUUGGUACCUUUUCCUAUAAACUUGGUCAAAAGGAGAGAAGUUUGACUUAGGACAAACCUAA
rnacentral:pre_miRNA from 1 species